AGUAUUUUUUAUCGUUAAUUUAUAAGUAUUAAUGUAAAUUCGUACUAACGCUAUUAAUUUUGUUCUCGUUAGGGAUAUUUGUAAUUAGCGAUUUGUGGAGAACGAUUGAUAAGGUAUUUUAUUCGUUUUAUAUAUUAAAAAUGUUAAAGUUAAUUUGUUAUGUGUAUAUUUUUUUUGUGAAGUUAUAUUUAUAUUAUGUUGUUAAAUUGUGCGUGACGUAGCACAAUGUGUUGUGAUGUACGAAGUUAAUUGAAAUUA
rnacentral:lncRNA from 1 species